rnacentral:tRNA from 1 species
GCGUACAUGGUUUACUGGUAUAAUUGCCGCCUGCCACGCGGCAGACCCGGGUUUGAUUCCCGGCCCACGCA